AAUAAUAUGUUAAAACAAGUCAAAUGUAUAUACAAAUGUUCGUUACAUAGUUAGUCACCACAGUUAGUCAUCACUCAUCAAUAUAAAAUGAUUAUUGCUUUACACUGAUAUUUUGAAGGCUUCAAUACUUAUGUAUAGUCUCCCAACAUUCAGAUUCGAUAACAUAAACUUCUAUAUAAUGCAAUUAAAAGUUGUGGCACCAAGUUGUCAGAUUUAGUAGUCCAGCUCAGUUUUUGGUGGUCUGGGGUGACCAGAUCAUCAGUUAAAGACUGCACUGCUUUUAUCUGCACACAAUAUUAUGUUAAUUGGGCAGCUACUGUUCCUUGUUCUGCAUUCUUCCUUUAGAUUACUAGUGGCAAGUCCUAAUGAGGCUGGAUAAAAUCAUCGCCAACCAAAAAAAGCACACAGAACUUCUCCAAUAACUUGCCAGUAAAAAGAGAGCGGUUUCACAAGCCCAGGCACAAGAGGUGGAAGUAGUGGAGGACAUGGUGGAGGAACAAAUGGAUGCAUGGGAAGACCUGGACCAAAUCUGUACCAAGCUAUCAGAAAAUCCAUGCCAGAGAAAAAAAAAACUGAGGCAUGUAGAAACAUUCACCCCAAAUGCCAGGAUGCUGAGGUUGAGCUGCAGAUGGUAGAAACUCUUAAGUGUGCCCUAAGCAAGUGUGGUGGAUACCUGUUUCUGGCACAAACUGCUUUGAACUCUCUCAAGACACCCACAUCAACUCCCACA